rnacentral:rRNA from 1 species
GGUGCGACGGACCGGUCGGCCCCUCACGGGGUCUGCACUCGGUGCCCUGUCGCUCCAUCCUCGGGGAGAGCGCGUCUGGCAUUAGUUUGUCGGGCGCGGGAUCCCCGUCGUUUACUGUGAAAAAAUUAGAGUGUUCAAAGCAGGCUUAGGCCGUUGGAUACAUUAGCAUGGAAUAAUGAGAUAGGGCCUCGGUGGUCUAUUUUGUUGGUUUGCACGCCGAGGUA